rnacentral:rRNA from 1 species
UGGGGAAUUUUGGACAAUGGGGGAAACCCUGAUCCAGCCAUCCCGCGUGUGCGAUGAAGGCCUUCGGGUUGUAAAGCACUUUUUGCAGGAAAGAAACGUCAUGGGUUAAUACCCCGUGAAACUGACGGUACCUGCAGAAUAAGCACCGGCUAACUACGUGCCAGCAGCCGCGGUAAUACGUAGGGUGCAAGCGUUAAUCGGAAUUACUGGGCGUAAAGCGUGCGCAGGCGGAUCGGAAAGAAAGAUGUGAAAUCCCAGAGCUCAACAUUGGAACUGCAUUUUUAACUACCGGGCUAGGGUGUGUCAGAGGGGGGUGGAAUUCCGGGUGUAGCAGUGAAAUGCGUAGAUAUGCGGAGGAACACCGAUGGCGAAGGCAGCCGCCUGGGAUAACACUGACGCUCAUGCACGAAAGCGUGGGGAGCAAACAGG